rnacentral:lncRNA from 1 species
GCUAAGAUGAACAGCAUUUCUGCUAGUUUCUCUCUCUCUUAAAACACCAUUUAGUCCAUCUAAAUUUACCUUACGAUAGUCUAAACCAUGAAUAAUAGUGAUGUUAAAAUACAAAGCCAGCAUUUCACCCACAGAGUGCAAUAGUGGCAGAGCUGCAAACGACCCCCACACGGAAGAGGAACAACAAUCAGUCAGUCAGUCAGUUCUUCCACAGCGGUGGAAGUGGCAUCCCGAAGCAGCGCAUGUGAUGAGUUUGUGCAGUUGUGUGGCAUUGACGAGUGCCGAGAGAAGAAUGUCGGGUGUGUGUGAGCCUCUGUGCAUCAACACUCGAGAGUCAUACUACUGCCAGUGCCGGCCAUGCAGGGUACAAACUCGUCAGGAAGUUCAAGUGUGAAGACGUUGACGAGUGCGUGGAGUCGCCUAGAUCCUCUCCCUGUGGACCAUCCCCUCAGCAGUGUUCGAUCUUCCCAGCAGCACCAACGGUCAGGAAAAGGCGGUCAUUGAAGUGUCAAGUCACCAAGCUGGCAUGGUGGCUGUGCUGUGGCAAAGAUGGCGUAAUUAAGCAGUUCCUGAAGAUGCGUCGACGUGUUAUCAUCCAUGGAAGCUACCCCAACCCAGCCAGUUACGCGGCAACAUGCACUGAGGAGGACGGGAGCGAGCGGCUGCAUGCACUAUUGAACGGGACGGCAUUACAUUCUUCCCACAGUUGUAUGACUACACUGAAGCAAGCCUAGAACAAAGUGUUGAGUGACCAUGAUGACUCAGUACUACUAACGCUAAAGUGAGGGAAGUGUUUGGAGUGAGCGUGCAAGACGUACAACAGACACCAGACUGCUACUGCCGGUGUAACCAUAGGAAUAAGAUGAGGCGGAGGAGGAGGAGAAACAAGAGGGUGAUUCUUGGAGACGU